rnacentral:lncRNA from 1 species
AGUAGGAAAAUCUGAUUUUUAACAGCUGAUUUCUAUCUCUUUUCCAGUAUAUAAACAGACCAAAAAGGAAAGAAGCCACAAAAAUAGGAGAUAGAAGCCAAACCUCUGUCUUCAACCUCUAGAAGAACAAAAGAAAAGCCUUAACAACCUUCCAUAGGGGAAAUUUCCAUUCAUCCAACCAGAGUUAACAAAGACUGGGGAGAGCCAGGACAUGCCUUCUGUGAGUCUACUUCUAUCACUAAGGUCCAUAUUUGAAACACCUGAACAAGAUGACAGCCUAUGCAAUAAAAAGAAGAAGAUUCACAUCUACUAACAAGAAAGAAUUGGAAGAAUUCAAAGUUUUUAGAAUAAAAAUUCAGAAAUCCUAUUUCCCUUUGAACAGAGGAUACUUGAACUGCAAAUACUACUCCCAGAGAUUCAAGUACAUCAACAAUAUAUGUUAG